UUAAUUCGAAGCAACGCGAAGAACCUUACCAGGCCUUGACAUGCAGAGAACUUUCCAGAGAUGGAUUGGUGCCUUCGGGAACUCUGAUACAGGUGCUGCAUGGCUGUCGUCAGCUCGUGUCGUGAGAUGUUGGGUUAAGUCCCGUAACGAGCGCAACCCUUGUCCUUAGUUACCAGCACGUUAUGGUAGGGGCAGAGGGAAUUCCUGGUGUAGCGGUGAAAUGCGUAGAGAUCAGGAAGAACAUCGGUG
rnacentral:rRNA from 1 species